UACGUAGGGGGCAAGCGUUGUCCGGAUUUAUUGGGCGUAAAGAGCGUGUAGGCGGCCAGGUAGGUCUGCUGUGAAAACUCGAGGCUUAACCUCGAGAUGUCGGCGGAAACCAUCUGGCUAGAGUCCGGAAGAGGAGAGUGGAAUUCCUGGUGUAGCGGUGAAAUGCGUAGAUAUCAGGAGGAACACCGGUGGUGUAGACGGCUUACUGGACCAUAACUGACGCUGAGACACGAAAGCGUGGGUAGCAAACAGG
rnacentral:rRNA from 1 species